rnacentral:tRNA from 1 species
AGGACAGUGGCUGGGUGGCAGAGCUCCAGCUUCAUACGCAGGAAGGCCUGGGUUCGGUUCCCGGCUGCUUUC